GACGAACGCUGGCGGCGUGCUUAACACAUGCAAGUCGAACGGUAAGACCCUUCGGGGUACACGAGUGGCGAACGGGUGAGUAACACGUGAGCAAUCUGCCCUUCACUCUGGGAUAACUGCGGGAAACUGUAGCUAAUACCGGAUACGAGGAUCCGAGGCAUCUCGGGUCCUGGAAAGAAUUUCGGUGAAGGAUGAGCUCGCGGCCUAUCAGCUAGUUGGUGAGGUAAUGGCUCACCAAGGCGACGACGGGUAGCCGGCCUGAGAGGGUGACCGGCCACACUGGAACUGAGACACGGUCCAGACUCCUACGGGAGGCAGCAGUGGGGAAUAUUGCACAAUGGGCGAAAGCCUGAUGCAGCAACGCCGCGUGAGGGAUGAAGGCCUUCGGGUUGUAAACCUCUUUUAGCAGGGAAGAAGCGAAAGUGACGGUACCUGCAGAAAAAGCACCGGCUAACUACGUGCCAGCAGCCGCCGUAA
rnacentral:rRNA from 1 species